GCUAGAGGCGUGCAAUUACGUACACUUCGCCUUAACUUAAAACAAAAAAUGAAGGUUUUCAUUUCAUAAAUUGCAUAUGAGCUGAGUAUGAAAGAAAUCGAUGUUUUACAAGUACACGUAUUCAUGUACAUGUAUAAGACUUUGAAAGACUUUUUAAUAUCUAAAAGACGAAAUAAAAGAUGAAUUGUUGCCCUCCAUAUCAGUGUAGUAUGUUUUAGAUAUCACAAUUGUCAAACAGUUACAUACUUUUAAUUGAGAUGCUUUCAACCCGUUAUACAUUUGUGAAUAGGUUAAUAGAUAUUUUCAUACUCAUUUCCAUCAUGUCGCUUCCUAAUCGACGCAGCCCAUGUGUAUUUUAAGAAGGAAAAUAUAUUAGGUAUUUUGUUUGUUAUUGUUUUGAAUGUUAUAGUGUGUGAUAAAAACAUUUGAGGGAAUUCGAUGUUUGCUAUACCGCGGUUCAAUUAAACACAC
rnacentral:lncRNA from 1 species